rnacentral:rRNA from 1 species
AUGGAAGCACUGCCGCCGUGGCCGCAGGCGGCGGCUGCGCCGGAGAUCCACUUUCGUUUCCGAGGAGCACUGACCCUCAGCCUCGAGCUGAAGCCGAGCGACCAGCCGCGCACCAUGCGCCUGCGUGGCGGCCUGGUCUUGUCCCAUGCGCCGCGCAGGGCCGGGCCGGUCGACGUGACCAAUCAAGUCGUCAGGAAGCUCGACCUACAGUUGGAGAUCACCGAUCACGCCGUCUUCCAGUCUGGCAAGGACUUCAGCCAACUCAUCCACGAUAUGCUCGCCGCCGCGGUCAAAAGGGAGUACGACGACCUCCCCGCCAACGCUACGGAUUCAAUCCAUAUGCCCCUUGACCUAGCCACGAUGAUCGUUGAGUCGAUUGGCCGCGGGAUCGACGAGAUCGUCGCCGCCGGGGGCAUCGUCCCUGGCUACGAAUUAGAUCUCGAGCUACCCCAGGCCUGUAUAACCCUGGUCUACGAGCCCAGGGCGCUACUCCUCGCCUGCAAAGAAGCCGCCGCUGCGGAAACCAAGGCUCCCACCGGAGUUGUGGCACUCUGUGGCCGAAAGCGCCGCCGUGAGGCUGAUGACCCGUGCGUCAUCUGUUUAUUGGACUUGGAGAGUGAGGAGGACGACGAGGAGCAGGUCCGGCUGCCGUGCUCCCAUGCCUUUCAUACACCGUGCAUCGAGCUGUGGUUCGACAGGGCGUCCACGUGCCCGACUUGCCGGCUUGACAUUAUGGAGUGCUUUAGCUUUGCCAGAUCAGCGCCUCCAAGGAGUUCAGAUAUCCCCGAGGCGGAGAUAAACCAUUCCUAA